UACGGAGGGGGCUAGCGUUGUUCGGAAUUACUGGGCGUAAAGCGCGCGUAGGCGGACCUGCAAGUCGGGGGUGAAAGCCCGAGGCUCAACCUCGGAACUGCCUUCCGAUACUGCGGGUCUCGAGUCCGGGAGAGAUGAGUGGAAUUCCUAGUGUAGAGGUGAAAUUCGUAGAUAUUAGGAAGGAACACCAGUGGCGAAGGCCGGCUCACUGGCCCGGUA
rnacentral:rRNA from 1 species